AUGCUAAUUCAUUAUGCAAGUGGUAUUUUCUACCUAUCCUUGCUUAGCACGCCUCUAAGCUCGCUUAGCGAGCAAACCCUUCCUUGGACAUGGAGUAAUUUAGCCCUUAAGUUUUUGAACCUCCAUACCUCGCUUAACCCGUCUGAUACCGUGCUAAGCAAGUUUUUUUGCUUAUCCUUGAAGUUACUUGGAUCUGAAGUUUUCUUUUAUUGCCUUUACCCGCUUAGAGACACUCCUUUCUUGGAUAACAGAAUCACAUUCUUCUUCAUCAUUUCUCUUCUACCAUCAUAUUCUGAGCUAAAUAGUUUCAUCAAUCGUUUCACAUUCACAACGAAAAUCAAACCUUUGUUAGUUCCUCUUCUAGUUUUCAUCUUCCAGGUUGGUUUUUAG